GACGAACGCUGGCGGCGUGCCUAAUACAUGCAAGUCGUGCGGACCUUUUAAAAGCUUGCUUUUAAAAGGUUAGCGGCGGACGGGUGAGUAACACGUGGGCAACCUGCCUGUAAGACUGGGAUAACGCCGGGAAACCGGGGCUAAUACCAGAUCGUUUUUUCCUCCGCAUGGAGGAAAAAGGAAAGGCGGCUUCGGCUGCCACUUACAGAUGGGCCCGCGGCGCAUUAGCUAGUUGGCGGGGUAACGGCCCACCAAGGCAACGAUGCGUAGCCGACCUGAGAGGGUGAUCGGCCACAUUGGGACUGAGACACGGCCCAAACUCCUACGGGAGGCAGCAGUAGGGAAUCUUCCGCAAGGGACAAAAGUCUGACGGAGCAACGCCGCGGGAGUGAAGAAGGCCUUCGGGUCGUAAAACUCUGUUGCCGGGGAAGAACAAGUGCCGUUCGAACAGGGCGGCGCCUUGACGGUACCCGGCCAGAAAGCCACGGCUAACUACGUG
rnacentral:rRNA from 1 species